GUGUCAGCCGCCGCGGUAAGACGUAGGUGGCAAGCGUUGCUCGGAAUCACUGGGCGUAAAGAGCUCGUAGGCGGUGGCGUAAGUCGGGAGUGAAAGCCCUCGGCUCAACCGAGGAAUUGCUCUCGAUACUGCGUCACUAGUCGGUCGGCGGGGAGAGUGGAAUGCUCGGUGGAGCGGUGAAAUGCGUAGAUAUCGGGUGGAACGCCGGAGGCGAAGGCGACUCUCUAGCCGACUCGAGACGCUGAGGAGCGAAAGCGUGGGGAGCAAACAGGAUUAGAUACCCUGGUAGUCCACGCUGUAAACGAUGGGCACUAGGCAGGGGAGCAUUGGCUUCCUUGCCGUAGCUAACGCGUUAAGUGCCCCGCCUGGGGAGUACGGUCGCAAGGCUGAAACUCAAAUGAAUUGACGGGG
rnacentral:rRNA from 1 species